UACGGAAGGGCAGCAGUGGGGAAUAUUGCACAAUGGGCGCAAGCCUGAUGCAGCCAUGCCGCGUGUAUGAAGAAGGCCUUCGGGUUGUAAAGUACUUUCAGUCGUGAGGAAGGUGUUAAGGUUAAUAACCUUAGCAAUUGACGUUAGCGACAGAAGAAGCACCGGCUAACUCCGUGCCAGCAGCCGCGGUAAUACGGAGGGUGCGAGCGUUAAUCGGAAUUACUGGGCGUAAAGGGCACGCAGGCGGUUAAUUAAGUUGGAUGUGAAAUCCCCGGGCUUAACCUGGGAAUGGCAUUCAAGACUGGUUAGCUAGAGUCUUGUAGAGGGGGUAGAAUUCCAUGUGUAGCGGUGAAAUGCGUAGAGAUGUGGAGGAAUACCGGUGGCGAAGGCGGCCCCUGGACAAAGACUGACGCUCAUGUGCGAAAGCGUGGGGAGCAAAC
rnacentral:rRNA from 1 species